rnacentral:lncRNA from 1 species
CGUAGAUGUGUCCGUAGGUAGUGCGCGCCCUAAAGUCUUUUUCUCUGCAUUUGACCAGCUCUGGAUCUCCGUAAUAGUCUCCAUCUGCUGCAAAAUGAGGAUUAUUUGAUGAGGUGUGAGAGAUCCACGGUCAGGCCUCAAUGAUAUGUUCAACUCUUGGGCCAAAGGCGUUCCUCCCAGGACGUCCAGAUUAUCCUGUUGUGUAUUUCUUCUCCGGUGGCCUGACGAGGUGCUCCUUGCCUUCGGUGAAUACAGAAGGCCACCAAAGGAGGGAGAAUCUAAGCAACACAGCCAUGUCUGAAGCCUGAAGGUCUCGGCAAACUCGCUGACGUGCCAGGCUGCUGGGCAGUCACCAUGCAUCCCUCUGGUUCCAUAAUUACACCUCCUUAUGCUGGUCCUUAAAUCCAAGCAGGCCCAUGCCAUCCCCCAUGAUGUGCACACAACCAUUAGUAACCUUCACCAGAGUCACUACUCAAAAACCCCGGCUCUCAUCAAGUUGGAAGUGACCUAUUCUAACCUUUCGCCUUCUUAUUUCACCCCGUUUUUUUUUUCCUUUUACGUCAUCCCCGAAGGAGAGGGUGAAUGCAUGUUUUGGAUCACC